rnacentral:rRNA from 1 species
UAGCGUAGGAGACGAGCGUUAGUCCGGAGUUACUGGGCGUAAAGGGUGCGCAGGUGGACCUGUGCGCGUGGGGGGUGAAAUCGCCCGGCUUAACUGGGCGGGGGCCUUCCAGACGGCGUGAGCUUGAGCAGCGGAGGGGGACGUGGAAUUCCGGGUGGAGCGGUGAAAUGCGUAGAGAUCCGGAGGAACACCGACGGCGCAGGCAGCGUCCUGGCCGCUUGCU